CUUAGCCUGCCCCUACAGAAAACAGAAGUGUCAGCGGAGGACUGUAAGUGCUAUGUGAUUGGACUACAGUGGCCGUCGAAUUUCACCUGCCCAGCACAUGUUCUCUCCUCCUCUCCUCCUCUGCCUUCUUUGGGUAAGAAUGCUGUUUUCUGUGGUUGCAGCAAUGGCUGGAUCUUGGCAGUCACACAAUAGAACAACCGUGAACCUGAGGAAGUGACCGAGUCACUGUGGGAUGCGAGGCAGUGAGAACACUUCAUCGCUGGCUGGAAAGCAUCCCAAGGUGGCUGAGAAGCAGACACACAGACAGUUUGAAGAGGAAAAAUCACAAUUAUAUCAACAGAUGAAGAAAAGUUGUUUGAAAAACUCUAACUCUCAUUCAUGAGCAAAAUCCCAAGUAAACAAGACAUAGAGGAUAACAUCCCCAUCUUGGUAAAUAAUGUCUUCAAAACA
rnacentral:lncRNA from 1 species